CCGUUCCCAUACCGAACACGGUAGUUAAGCUCUUCAGCGCCGAUGGUAGUCGGGGGCUUCCCCCUGUGAGAGUAGGACAUCGCCAGG
rnacentral:rRNA from 1 species